GCAGCUAGACAGCCCAGGUACUAGCAGGUAGACAGCCCUGGAACUAGCAGGUAGACAGCCCUGGAACUAGCAGGUAGACAGCCCAGGUACUAGCAGCUAGACAGCCCUGGUACUAGCAGGUAGACAGCCCUGGAACUAGCAGGUAGAAGGUAGACAGCCCUGGUACUAGCAGCUAGACAGCCCUGGAACUAGCAGGUAGACAGCCCUGGAACUAGCAGGUAGAAGGUAGACAGCCCUGGUACUAGCAGGUAGACAGCCCUGGAACUAGCAGGUAGACAGCCCAGGUACUAGCAGCUAGACAGCCCU